AAGCGAAGCGGAGAGGAGAGUUGGGAGGGCGAGCGAGCCAUGAAAGGAGGUGGAGGAGAGAGAGAGGAAGGCAGAUGAAGAGAGAGUAUAACUUUGGGGGAAUCGCAGGAAGAAGGCAGCACAGGAAGAAGCUUUUGGCUGUUUUCUUUUGUUUGUUUUCUCCAUUUUGGAAGAAGACGAGGAGCACAAAGUCUUUCCAAAGUAGGCUCACACCUGUUUUCCCUGAGGAUUCCCUGGAGCGCCAUCAUGGGCUGUGGCGCCUGAGGGAAUCUUUGCAUCUGGUGUUCUGGAAGCAAGAGAAGCUUUAGGAAGGAGAUGUCAUCCUACUUCACGCGUACUAAAGACCUGACUCGUACCAGGAGGUCACUCACCGACUCACCGCCAUCCUCUCCAUCCCCUACUGACAAAAGCUUCCGACAUGACAGACUGUCAAGGUAUGACUCCAGUGGAGAUAAUGUGGCAGACAAAUUGGGGCGGACCAGCUCCUACACCCGCAGAGAGACCAGACUGGCUUCUCUGAGCAAGCAGGAGCAAGACACCACGAGCAAAGACUAUAAGAAGAUGUACGCGGAAGCACUACACGAGAAUGAGCGCCUUAAGUCUAGGCUGCAGGACAGCAAACAAGAACUUGUCAACAUUCGUUCCCAGUUGGAAAAAGUAACUCAGAGGCAAGACAGGAUAUCGGAGAAAUCUACUCAGCUUGAAGCUGAGAAAAAGGACAAACAGGCCCUCGAGAAGAGAGUGUCAGGCAUGGAAGACGAGAUAAAGACUUUCCCCGCUCUGGCUCAGGCACAGACCUUGCGGAGCAUCAACGAACGUCUCCUGGCCGAGAACAGAGCCUUGAUGCGCGCCCUGUCUCGCCUCUCUGAGACAGCCUCCGUGCCGGAGACAGAGGACCUCUGAAUUCACCUGUUCUCCUUUCAAGCCUCCUCCUCCUCCUCCUCCUCCUGCCCCAUUUCUCUGCACAACCCUCCUUCUGGUGCCUCCAUAACCCGCUCUUCCUCCACUGUGCUCCUCUCAGGUCUUAACAGAGCUCAAGGCAGACAACCAGAGGCUAAAGGAUGAGAACGGUGCGCUCAUUCGGGUCAUCAGCAAACUGUCUAAAUGAAAGAAUGUUCUGGUUUGCAGUUAUUCACCAUGAGGUCACAUUUCCUACUUCCUGUGAGGUGGAUCUAAAUUUCCAAAUUUGUGAUGGAUGCUGGAGUUAUAAUAAAUAACAACAAUUA